rnacentral:rRNA from 1 species
UUGACGGGGGCCCGCACAAGCGGUGGAGCAUGUGGUUUAAUUCGAUGAUACGCGAGGAACCUUACCUGGGCUCAAAUGUAUGUUGACGUAUUCUGAAAGGGAUACUUCUUCGGACAAUAUACAAGGUGCUGCAUGGUUGUCGUCAGCUCGUGCCGUGAGGUGUCGGGUUAAGUCCCAUAACGAGCGCAACCCCUAUCAUUAGUUGCCAUCAGGUCAAGCUGGGGACUCUAAUGAAACUGCCUACGCAAGUAGUGAGGAAGGUGGGGAUGACGUCAAAUCAGCACGGCCCUUACGUCCAGGGCUACACACGUGCUACAAUGGCCGAUACAGAGGGCAGCUACCUGGUGACAGGAUGCAAAUCUCCAAAGUCGGUCUCAGUUCGGAUCGGAGUCUGCAACCCGACUCCGUGAAGUUGGAUUCGCUAGUAAUCGCGCAUCAGCCAUGGCGCGGUGAAUACGUUCCCGGGCCUU